rnacentral:lncRNA from 1 species
GCGCAAGGCCCAUGGCUUCCUCCCAAGGGAAGCUCCGUGUCCCUUUCUUGGAAAGCAGACUUGGCUUUUUUGGCAGGAUCAUGGCCAACUGUCGAGGAGGAGGAGGAGGAGGAAGAGGAGGAGGAGGAGGAGGAAGAAGACUUCUCCUAAGUUCCUGACCCCCACCCCAUAGCUACCUGCUCAGUACCUGGGUAGGCAGGCACUGAAGAUCCACACAAAAGAUGAGCCCCUGACUCUUCCAGGGCCAGGCCGGCUCAGGGACCCCAAAGCCUUUUUUCUUCCAACAGCACAAAUGAGAAGCCACAUUGCAGUAUCAACCUUGGGAAUUUCAAAUACCUUUGAAACAGGCAUCUCACUGGACACAGAAGACACAACUGUGAACAAGUCCAAGAAAGACCCUGUUCUCAGGAAACUGAAAUUCCUGCUAGAAGGUCUGGCAAACCUUCGUUCAGAGAUAUGACAAAAUCAAGGGUUGUGCAAGAAGCAUGGUGCUGACAUCUGCUCCUGGUGAGGCCUCAGGAAGCUU